GCGGGAAUAGCUCAGUUGGUAGAGCAUAACCUUGCCAAGGUUGAGGUCGCGAGUUCGAGUCUCGUUUCCCGCUCCA
rnacentral:tRNA from 1 species